rnacentral:rRNA from 1 species
GACGAACGCUGGCGGCGUGCUUAACACAUGCAAGUCGAACGGAAAGGCCCUGCUUUUGUGGGGUGCUCGAGUGGCGAACGGGUGAGUAACACGUGAGUAACCUGCCCUUGACUUUGGGAUAACUUCAGGAAACUGGGGCUAAUACCGGAUAGGAGCUCCUGCUGCAUGGUGGGGGUUGGAAAGUUUCGGCGGUUGGGGAUGGACUCGCGGCUUAUCAGCUUGUUGGUGGGGUAGUGGCUUACCAAGGCUUUGACGGGUAGCCGGCCUGAGAGGGUGACCGGCCACAUUGGGACUGAGAUACGGCCCAGACUCCUACGGGAGGCAGCAGUGGGGAAUAUUGCACAAUGGGCGGAAGCCUGAUGCAGCAACGCCGCGUGCGGGAUGACGGCCUUCGGGUUGUAAACCGCUUUCGCCUGUGACGAAGCGUGAGUGACGGUAAUGGGUAAAGAAGCACCGGCUAACUACGUGCCAGCAGCCGCGGUGAUACGUAGGGUGCGAGCGUUGUCCGGAUUUAUUGGGCGUAAAGGGCUCGUAGGUGGUUGAUCGCGUCGGAAGUGUAAUCUUGGGGCUUAACCCUGAGCGUGCUUUCGAUACGGGUUGACUUGAGGAAGGUAGGGGAGAAUGGGAUUCCUGGUGGAGCGGUGGAAUGCGCAGAUAUCAGGAGGAACACCAGUGGCGAAGGCGGUUCUCUGGGCCUUUCCUGACGCUGAGGAGCGAAAGCGUGGGGAGCGAACAGGCUUAGAUACCCUGGUAGUCCACGCUGUAAACGGUGGGUACUAGGUGUGGGGUCCAUUCCACGGGUUCCGUGCCGUAGCUAACGCUUUAAGUACCCCGCCUGGGGAGUACGGCCGCAAGGCUAAAACUCAAAGGAAUUGACGGGGCCCCGCACAAGCGGCGGAGCAUGCGGAUUAAUUCGAUGCAACGCGUAGAACCUUACCUGGGUUUGACAUGGAUCGGGAGUGCUCAGAGAUGGGUGUGCCUCUUUCGGGGUCGGUUCACAGGUGGUGCAUGGCUGUCGUCAGCUCGUGUCGUGAGAUGUUGGGUUAAGUCCCGCAACGAGCGCAACCCUUGUUCACUGUUGCCAGCACGUUAUGGUGGGGACUCAGUGGAGACCGCCGGGGUCAACUCGGAGGAAGGUGGGGAUGGCGUCAAGUCAUCAUGCCCCUUAUGUCCAGGGCUUCACGCAUGCUACAAUGGCUGGUACAGAGAGUGGCGAGCCUGUGAGGGUGAGCGAAUCUCGGAAAGCCGGUCUCAGUUCGGAUUGGGGUCUGCAACUCGACCUCAUGAAGUCGGAGUCGCUAGUAAUCGCAGAUCAGCAACGCUGCGGUGAAAACGUUCCCGGG